rnacentral:rRNA from 1 species
UGCAGUCGAGCGGAAACGACACUAACAAUCCUUCGGGUGCGUUAAUGGGCGUCGAGCGGCGGACGGGUGAGUAAUGCCUAGGAAAUUGCCUUGAUGUGGGGGAUAACCAUUGGAAACGAUGGCUAAUACCGCAUAAUGCCUACGGGCCAAAGAGGGGGACCUUCGGGCCUCUCGCGUCAAGAUAUGCCUAGGUGGGAUUAGCUAGUUGGUGAGGUAAUGGCUCACCAAGGCGACGAUCCCUAGCUGGUCUGAGAGGAUGAUCAGCCACACUGGAACUGAGACACGGUCCAGACUCCUACGGGAGGCAGCAGUGGGGAAUAUUGCACAAUGGGCGAAAGCCUGAUGCAGCCAUGCCGCGUGUAUGAAGAAGGCCUUCGGGUUGUAAAGUACUUUCAGUUGUGAGGAAGGGGGUAGUGUUAAUAGCGCUAUCUCUUGACGUUAGCAACAGAAGAAGCACCGGCUAACUCCGUGCCAGCAGCCGCGGUAAUACGGAGGGUGCGAGCGUUAAUCGGAAUUACUGGGCGUAAAGCGCAUGCAGGUGGUUCAUUAAGUCAGAUGUGAAAGCCCGGGGCUCAACCUCGGAACUGCAUUUGAAACUGGUGAACUAGAGUACUGUAGAGGGGGGUAGAAUUUCAGGUGUAGCGGUGAAAUGCGUAGAGAUCUGAAGGAAUACCAGUGGCGAAGGC